GUUGGAAUCUACAUUUCUGUGGGUAAGCUUCUGAAAUGCGUUGAUGUGUGGAAGCAUAUUUCAGUUGUAAUUUUAUAAUUUUCUAUAGGCUGCAUAAAAUAUGCUAGAACCCUCAAACGUAAUGUCAAGCAUAAUCUGUCUACCCAAGUGGUCAUCACUCUCAAAUUGUGAUUUAAUUUAGCAAGUCAAUGCAACUGCACAAAUUGUAGAAAUAAUGCAUCCCAUUCUAUUCUCCCACCGAGUCUGUGUAUCUCAUUAUACUUUUCCAAAAUUAUAAGUAAACCUAG
rnacentral:misc_RNA from 1 species